UCUUCCCAAAAUCCCCCUUCCCUCCCAAAAUCCCCAUUCCCUCGUAUUAGCUAGGUCUUAACUUAGGAAAGAAAUAGUGGGAAAAGAUAACCCUAGCCAAGUCCUCUUUCAUUCUUGCUCCCUGGCCUAUUCGUCGUGCAAAACCCUCAUCGUCUUGCUUCAACUGUCUUAGUGUACCGUCACCAUCACCGUUGCCACUCCAUCCUCUAAGACGCAGAACUAGAACCGGUGGCAUCCUAGAUUUUUGAAAUUUGCUAACAUUGGCAUCCUGCAGUAAAACACCCCUGCUAACACCCAUUGCUUUCCAUUUCCGAUCUCACUCCCAGAAGGGGGAAGAUAUGCUUUCACUCUCACCCCGUCAAUACCAUAUCGAACCUGGACCUCUUGAAAAAGCUGAAGACAUGAUGUGAAGAAAAUAUGUUCCAUACAAAUAUGACAUGGGAUGGGUCUUACACUUUAGUUAUCUAAAUAUAAUUUUUUUAUGUGUUCUGUACUUUUUGAUAAGAGACUUUACUCGGUAUUACAUGUAAUUGGAUACGUUACAUUCUAUUUUGAU